UGAGUACGAGCUGCUACGGCAGCGAAGUGGGUGAUGUCAAGCUUCCAAGAAAAGCCCUAUACCCGUUAAGGCAUGAUGGCCUGUACCCGAAACCGACACAGGUGGGGUGGUAGAGAAUACCGAGGGGCGCGAGAUAACUCUCUCUAAGGAACUCGGCAAAAUGGCCCCGUAACUUCGGGAGAAGGGGUGCCACCGCAAGGUGGUCGCAGUGAAGAGGCCCAGGCGACUGUUUACCAAAAACACAGGUCUCCGCUAAGUCGCAAGACGAUGUAUGGGGGCUGACGCCUGCCCAGUGCCGGAAGGUUAAGGAAGCUGGUCAGCGUAAGCGAAGCUAGCGACUGAAGCCCCGGUGAACGGCGGCCGUAACUAUAACGGUCCUAAGGUAGCGAAAUUCCUUGUCGGGUAAGUUCCGACCCGCACGAAAGGCGUAACGAUCUGGGCGCUGUCUCGGAGAGAGGCUCGGCGAAAUAGAAUUGUCUGUGAAGAUGCGGACUACGUGCACCCGGACAGAAAGACCCUAUGAAGCUUUACUGUAGCUUGGUAUUGUGCUCGGGCUCGGAAUGCGCAGGAUAGGUGGGAGGCUAUGAACCAUUGCUUGUGGGUAAUGGUGAGCCACUGGUGAGAUACCACUCUUUCCGAGCUAGAGUUCUAACAGCCACCCGUUAUCCGGGGGCUGGACAGUAUCAGGUGGGCAGUUUGACUGGGGCGGUCGCCUCCUAAAAGGUAACGGAGGCGCGCAAAGGUUUGCUCAGGCUGGUUGGAAAUCAGCCGACGAGUGUAAAAGCAGAAGCAAGCUUGACUGUGAGACCUACAAGUCGAACAGGGAGGAAACUCGGCUUUAGUGAUCCGACGGUUCUGCGUGGAAGGGCCGUCGUUCAACGGAUAAAAGUUACUCUAAGGAUAACAGGCUGAUCUCCCCCAAGAGUUCACAUCGACGGGGAGGUUUGGCACCUCGAUGUCGGCUCAUCGCAACCUGGGGCUGAAGUCGGUCCCAAGGGUUGGGCUGUUCGCCCAUUAAAGCGGUACGCGAGCUGGGUUCAGAACGUCGUGAGACAGUUCGGUCCAUAUCCGGUGCAUGCGCAGGAAUAUUGAGAGGAUUUCUCCCUAGUACGAGAGGACCGGGAGGAACGCACCUCUGGUGUACCAGUUAUCGUGCCAACGGUAAACGCUGGGUAGCCAUGUGCGGAGAGGAUAACCGCUGAAAGCAUCUAAGUGGGAAGCCCACCUCAAGAUGAGUAUUCCCAUGGGGUAACCCAGUAAGGUCACGGGAAGAACACCCGUUGAUAGGCUCUACGUGGAAGCGCAGUAAUGUGUGAAGCGGAGGAGUACUAAUAGACCGAGGGCUUGAC
rnacentral:rRNA from 1 species